rnacentral:tRNA from 1 species
AUAGUUGUAGUAAAUUUUUAUUAUAUCUGCCUUCCAAGCAGAAGUUCUAGAUGAUCUAGCGACUAUA